GACGAACCGAGCGAACGUUAUUCGGAAUCACUGGGCUUAAAGGGCGCGUAGGCGGGCCGUCAAGUCAGGGGUGAAAGCCUCCAGCUCAACUGGAGAAGUGCCUCUGAUACUGGCGGCCUCGAGCGAGGUAGGGGCGUGCGGAACUUCCGGUGGAGCGGUGAAAUGCGUAGAUAUCGGAAGGAACAUCGGUGGCGAAAGCGGCGCGCUGGACCACAUCUGACGCUGAGGCGCGAAAGCUAGGGGAGCAAACAGG
rnacentral:rRNA from 1 species